UGCGCGUACGCAGUGUUCCGCUCUCGCGCCCUUCGGGUCCUCCGCCGCCCCGCCCCUUGCUCUGAGGUAGCCAAUCAGAGCCGCGGGCUCUACCGUUCCUACCGCCUUCUCCCGGUGGCCGCUAGCCCGGCGAAACCUCCAAGCCCAGGCUUCCAAGGCAACCAGGCAGUGUCAGUCUUCAGCUGCUAAGCCGAGAAGAUCUGGGAAGGAGUCAGUCAGAGAGCCUUGGGCCAGAGUUCCAGGGGUUCUGGAAGUGGCUUCCAGCAUUUGAAAAAUAUUGUGCCAUUUCCUUCUGGCUUCCGUGGUUUCUUAUGAUAAAUCUGCUGUCAAUGAAACUGUUUCUUCCACCGCCUUCCAUUCACCACCCAAAAUAGGGUGAACAUAGCCUUCAGCACCAGCAAUCACAACCUAAUAUGUUAAAAGAGAAGAUCUAAUCCCUUCAGAAGAAACCUGUGGUGACCUGAGGCAAGCUACUUCUGACUUCUAAAACAAUGGAGGCAGUCAACGCUUCAAUAUACCCAUCUUUAUCAGUAAAGAAAUGUGACCAUGAAUGAAGCCCUUCCUGUGAAGCAGCAGUCGAUUCCCUCUGUGGUUUCCGGGGUUUGGGUUCUCCAGAGAAGCAAGGUGAAUGGGCGAAAUGACCACAGACCUCCAUACGAUGGAUGAAGCCUGGAGUCCAGUGCUGCUCUUGUCCUGCGUGUGGCCUCUGUGGAGUCCUCUUCGCAGGCCCUCUGCCUCAUCCACCCUUGGUCACCCUUCAGCUUCCUAUCCAGAGCCUGGGGUCUCCUCUUGCCCAUCAUACAAAGCAAGUACAGUUCCUACCUCAAACCAAUCUCAUUACACAGGGCUGGUCUUGUCGGGCUAUGUCUGGGCUAAUGAUAUGACCAAAUCCCUCAGCAUGCUGUUUUAAAAACAGCAACAAGUGACUUGAAGGACACAUGAAUAGUCUUUUUUUUUUUUUUUGAGACGAAGUCUCGCUUUUGUCCCCCAGGCUAGAGUUUGAUGGCGCGAUCUCAGCUCACUGCAACCUCCGCCUCCCUGGUUCAAGUGAUUCUCCUGCCUCAGCCUCCCAAGUAGCUGGGAUUGCAGGCACCUGCCACCAGGCCUGGCUAAUUUUUGUAUUUUUAGUAGAGAUGGGGUUUCACCAUGUUGGCCAGGCCGGUCUCGAACUCCUGACCUCAGGUGAUUUGCCCGCCUUGGCCUCCCAAAGCGCUGGGAUUACAGGCGUGAGCCACCGCACCCAGGCCCAGACACAUGAAUAUUCUUAAAAUAUCUUGAAGGCAAGAGGGACCACGUCUCAUACCAUUGUUGCCUUUUCUAUUCUCCUCUCUCUUUCCUUAAGAAGGAAAACUACAUAAAAGGACUCCCAUGGAAAACGGGAGUCAACCAGGGAGCGGAAGCCCAUACUGGCACAGCUUGGAAAGCUACAACUGUUCAGGAGCCCUCAUUCUAGGUUUUCCAAAGCUUAUAAUAAGUUUAGGCCUACAAGCACAUACAUAUUGGGUUUGGGGGCACUUCUAUACAUAAAUCCACUUUUUUCUUUUUUGGCUUUGUGGAAUGCAGGACAGUCACACAAGAAAAUGGGAGACAUAUUCACAGCAGCUUGGAAACCAGUUUGGGUCACAGAACAUCACAAUGAAGCAUGCUGGAUUUUGAUAAUCAUUCUCUUUUUAGGACUUAAAUGAAGUUAUUUCACAAUGUUAUAUGCUGAGUGCAUAGCUGUGUGGUCCAAAGUAUUGCUUUUAGGUUGUAUGUAAACUGGCUAUUAUGUAACAAAAUCGUGUGUUUUAACUAGGAGUUACCCACACUGUAGAGUCUUUGCUUAGUUAAAAAAUGGUGGAGAUACAAUAUGCCUGUCAGUUUCUACCACUGUCUUCUCAGGAGAGAGAAAUUCUUACAUUUGAGCCUUUUUAUAUCUACUGUGGAUAUGACAAACACAACCAUUCACUCUGUGCCUAUUAAAUCUUUGGCUUAAAAGGAAUGGUUCUCAUCCAGAAGUAAAUGGUAUCCAAACUUUUGAGAAAGUAAAACUAAACAAAACCCUGGGUGCUGUGGUGAUGAUGUCUUAGGUAUGACUGGGAAACAUCUUGUGAUACGUCAAAACCAUUCUCCAAAGAAAAACUGAAAAUGGACAGCUCCAGUCUGCAGCUCCCAGCGAGACCAAUGCAGAAGGCGGGGGUGAUUCUGCAUUUCCAACCUAGGUACCCAGUUCCUCUCACUGGGACUAGUUAGGUAGUGGGCGUGACCCACUGAGAGCUGCAGAAGCAGGGUGGGGCGUCGCUUCACCCGGAAAGCGCACAGAGCCCGAGACCUCCCUCCCCCAGCCAAGGGAAGCAGUGAGGGACUGUGCUACCUGCCCGGGGUACUACGCUUUUUUCACGGAAUUUUGCGAUCCACGGAUCAGGAGAUUCCCUCCUAAGUCUACACCACCAGGGCCCUGGGUUUCAAGCACAAAACUGGGCAGCUGUUUGGGCAGGCACUGAGCUGCAGGAUUUUUUCAUUCUCCAGCAGCGCCUAGAACUCCAGUGAGACAGGACAACCGUCCACCCCCCUAGAAAGGUGGCUGAAGCCAGGGAGCCAAGCGGUCUCGCUCAGCGGGUCCCACUCCCAUGGAGCCCAGCAAGCUAAGAACCACUGGCUUGAAAUUCUCACUGUGGGCACAGCAGUCUGGAGUCGGACUGGGAUGAUUGAGUUUGGUGGGAAGGGGGGCGAUGGCCAUUACUGUGGCUUUAGUAGGUAGUUUUCCUCUGACAGUGCUAAGGAUACUGGGAAGUUUGGACUGGAUGGAAUUCCCCACAGUGCAGCAAAGCGGCUGUGGCCAGACUGCUUCUCUAGAUUCCUCCCCACUGGGCAGGGCAUCGCUGCAGGAAAUAUAGCAGCUCCAGUCAGGGGCUUACAGCCGAAAACUCUCAUCUCUCUGGGGCAGAGCACCUGGGGGGAGGGGCGGCUGUGGUCGCAGGUUUAGUGGACUUAGCCUUUCCUGCCUGCCGGCU